UACGUAGGGGGCAAGCGUUGUCCGGAAUCAUUGGGCGUAAAGCGCGUGUAGGCGGCUCGGUAAGUCCGCUCUGAAAGUCCAGGGCUCAACCCUGGGAUGCGGGUGGAUACUGCCGGGCUCGAGUCCGGAAGAGGCGAGUGGAAUUCCUGGUGUAGCGGUGAAAUGCGCAGAUAUCAGGAGGAACACCAAUUGCGAAGGCAGCUCGCUGGGACGUUACUGACGCUGAGACGCGAAAGCGUGGGGAGCAAACAGG
rnacentral:rRNA from 1 species